CUGUUUUGAUAACAGUAAUGUCCCUUUAGUUCAAAGUUACCAGCUAUCAAAACAA
ensembl:miRNA